GCCGGGCGCGGGCCGUGGCGCUGCCACGGGUGCGGUCCGUGGCCCCGGGGCGGGCCGCAGCCCCGACGCGGGGGCGCUUCCCGAGCCUGGCGCC
rnacentral:tRNA from 1 species